GAAGGUAACAGCUCAGUGGUAGAGCACAUGCUUAGCAUGCAUCAGGUCAUGGGUUCAAUCCCCAGUCCUUCCA
rnacentral:tRNA from 1 species